UCCGGUGUAGUCUAGUGGCUAGGAUACCUGGCUCUCACCCAGGAGGCCCGGCGGCCCGGGUUCGAUUCCCGGUACCGGAA